rnacentral:rRNA from 1 species
UCAAGUGAAGAAGCGCAUACGGUGGAUGCCUUGGCAGUCAGAGGCGAUGAAAGACGUGGUAGCCUGCGAAAAGCUUCGGGGAGUCGGCAAACAGACUUUGAUCCGGAGAUCUCUGAAUGGGGGAACCCACCUAGGAUAACCUAGGUAUCUUGUACUGAAUCCAUAGGUGCAAGAGGCGAACCAGGGGAACUGAAACAUCUAAGUACCCUGAGGAAAAGAAAUCAACCGAGAUUCCCUUAGUAGUGGCGAGCGAACGGGGAUUAGCCCUUAAGCUUCAUUGAUUUUAGCGGAACGCUCUGGAAAGUGCGGCCAUAGUGGGUGAUAGCCCCGUACGCGAAAGGAUCUUUGAAGUGAAAUCGAGUAGGACGGAGCACGAGAAACUUUGUCUGAACAUGGGGGGACCAUCCUCCAAGGCUAAAUACUACUGACUGACCGAUAGUGAACCAGUACCGUGAGGGAAAGGCGAAAAGAACCCCGGAGAGGGGAGUGAAAUAGAACCUGAAACCGUAUGCGUACAAGCAGUGGGAGCCUACUUGUUAGGUGACUGCGUACCUUUUGUAUAAUGGGUCAGCGACUUAUAUUCAGUGGCAAGCUUAACCGUAUAGGGUAGGCGUAGCGAAAGCGAGUCUUAAUAGGGCGUUUAGUCGCUGGGUAUAGACCCGAAACCGGGCGAUCUAUCCAUGAGCAGGUUGAAGGUUAGGUAACACUGACUGGAGGACCGAACCCACUCCCGUUGAAAAGGUAGGGGAUGACUUGUGGAUCGGAGUGAAAGGCUAAUCAAGCUCGGAGAUAGCUGGUUCUCCUCGAAAGCUAUUUAGGUAGCGCCUCAUGUAUCACUCUGGGGGGUAGAGCACUGUUUCGGCUAGGGGGUCAUCCCGACUUACCAAACCGAUGCAAACUCCGAAUACCCAGAAGUGCCGAGCAUGGGAGACACACGGCGGGUGCUAACGUCCGUCGUGAAAAGGGAAACAACCCAGACCGCCAGCUAAGGUCCCAAAGUUGUGGUUAAGUGGUAAACGAUGUGGGAAGGCUUAGACAGCUAGGAGGUUGGCUUAGAAGCAGCCACCCUUUAAAGAAAGCGUAAUAGCUCACUAGUCGAGUCGGCCUGCGCGGAAGAUGUAACGGGGCUCAAACCACACACCGAAGCUGCGGGUGUCACGUAAGUGACGCGGUAGAGGAGCGUUCUGUAAGCCUGUGAAGGUGAGUUGAGAAGCUUGCUGGAGGUAUCAGAAGUGCGAAUGCUGACAUGAGUAACGACAAUGGGUGUGAAAAACACCCACGCCGAAAGACCAAGGGUUCCUGCGCAACGUUAAUCGACGCAGGGUUAGUCGGUUCCUAAGGCGAGGCUGAAAAGCGUAGUCGAUGGGAAACAGGUUAAUAUUCCUGUACUUCUGGUUACUGCGAUGGAGGGACGGAGAAGGCUAGGCCAGCUUGGCGUUGGUUGUCCAAGUUUAAGGUGGUAGGCUGAAAUCUUAGGUAAAUCCGGGGUUUCAAGGCCGAGAGCUGAUGACGAGUCGUCUUUUAGAUGACGAAGUGGUUGAUGCCAUGCUUCCAAGAAAAGCUUCUAAGCUUCAGGUAACCAGGAACCGUACCCCAAACCGACACAGGUGGUCGGGUAGAGAAUACCAAGGCGCUUGAGAGAACUCGGGUGAAGGAACUAGGCAAAAUGGCACCGUAACUUCGGGAGAAGGUGCGCCGGCUAGGGUGAAGGAUUUACUCCGUAAGCUCUGGCUGGUCGAAGAUACCAGGCCGCUGCGACUGUUUAUUAAAAACACAGCACUCUGCAAACACGAAAGUGGACGUAUAGGGUGUGACGCCUGCCCGGUGCCGGAAGGUUAAUUGAUGGGGUUAGCGCAAGCGAAGCUCUUGAUCGAAGCCCCGGUAAACGGCGGCCGUAACUAUAACGGUCCUAAGGUAGCGAAAUUCCUUGUCGGGUAAGUUCCGACCUGCACGAAUGGCGUAACGAUGGCGGCGCUGUCUCCACCCGAGACUCAGUGAAAUUGAAAUCGCUGUGAAGAUGCAGUGUAUCCGCGGCUAGACGGAAAGACCCCGUGAACCUUUACUGUAGCUUUGCACUGGACUUUGAGCCUGCUUGUGUAGGAUAGGUGGGAGGCUUUGAAGCGUGGACGCCAGUUCGCGUGGAGCCAUCCUUGAAAUACCACCCUGGCAUGCUUGAGGUUCUAACUCUGGUCCGUAAUCCGGAUCGAGGACAGUGUAUGGUGGGCAGUUUGACUGGGGCGGUCUCCUCCUAAAGAGUAACGGAGGAGUACGAAGGUGCGCUCAGACCGGUCGGAAAUCGGUCGCAGAGUAUAAAGGCAAAAGCGCGCUUGACUGCGAGACAGACACGUCGAGCAGGUACGAAAGUAGGUCUUAGUGAUCCGGUGGUUCUGUAUGGAAGGGCCAUCGCUCAACGGAUAAAAGGUACUCCGGGGAUAACAGGCUGAUACCGCCCAAGAGUUCAUAUCGACGGCGGUGUUUGGCACCUCGAUGUCGGCUCAUCACAUCCUGGGGCUGAAGCCGGUCCCAAGGGUAUGGCUGUUCGCCAUUUAAAGUGGUACGCGAGCUGGGUUUAGAACGUCGUGAGACAGUUCGGUCCCUAUCUGCCGUGGACGUUUGAGAUUUGGGAGGGGCUGCUCCUAGUACGAGAGGACCGGAGUGGACGAACCUCUGGUGUUCCGGUUGUCACGCCAGUGGCAUUGCCGGGUAGCUAUGUUCGGAA